GACGAACGCUGGCGGCGUGCUUAACACAUGCAAGUCGAACGGAAAGGCCCUGCUUGCAGGGUACUCGAGUGGCGAACGGGUGAGUAACACAUGGGUGAUCUGCCCUGCACUUCGGGAUAAGCCUGGGAAACUGGGUCUAAUACCGGAUAGGAGCUAUUUUUAGUGUGAUGGUUGGAAAGUUUUUUCGGUGUAGGAUGAGCUCGCGGCCUAUCAGCUUGUUGGUGGGGUAAUGGCCUACCAAGGCGGCGACGGGUAGCCGGCCUGAGAGGGUGGACGGCCACAUUGGGACUGAGAUACGGCCCAGACUCCUACGGGAGGCAGCAGUGGGGAAUAUUGCACAAUGGGCGCAAGCCUGAUGCAGCGACGCCGCGUGGGGGAUGACGGCCUUCGGGUUGUAAACUCCUUUCGCUAGGGACGAAGCUUUUUGUGACGGUACCUAGAGAAGAAGCACCGGCUAACUACGUG
rnacentral:rRNA from 1 species